GAAAGAAUGUGCGCAAAGGAACAGUUCCCAAGUGGACUAAUUUCACUUCUAUACUCACAUUUGUGUAAUAGCAGGUUAGAAUGGGGAGGUAUUACAUACAUAGACCAAUGGGAGGCGGAUUUAGGAGAGACGUUGGAGGGAGUGGAAUGGCAGGAAAUAUGGGAAGCAGCCGUGCAGUCCUCUAUGUGUGUCUCGUUACAGGAACAAUCAUAUAAGACGCUAUUUCGAUG